rnacentral:rRNA from 1 species
UACAGAGGGUGCGAGCGUUGUUCGGAAUUAUUGGGCGUAAAGGGCGCGUAGGCGGUGCGGUAAGUCACCUGUGAAAUCUCCUGGCUCAACUGGGAGCUUGCAGGCGAAACUGUCGUGCUGGAGUGUGGGAGAGGUGCGUGGAAUUCCUGGUGUAGCGGUGAAAUGCGUAGAUAUCAGGAGGAACACCUGUGGCGAAAGCGGCGCACUGGACCACAACUGACGCUGAGGCGCGAAAGCUAGGGGAGCAAACAGG